GGUAACGGGAAAGUACAUCUUCACGAGAACCAAAGGCAGCAUGUCUAUGCAAAGACCCCAAAUCUGGUAAAAGUCUGACUGGCCUAGGAAGUGAUGGCUGAUUAGUGGGCAGGGCAGAUGACAGGCCGGUGGAGGCGGAGUCUGGGGCACUUAAACUAGGAAAAGUAGUCAAUGCAUGGUCAGCCUGGUGUGAGAUGAGCGUGCCGGAAGCCUGAAGACUGGUCAGCAAGCGGUGACCCAGAGCAGAAACAUCUGGGGAGUCUAGGUGGGAGAUCCUAUGGCGGCCGAGGUUGCUACUGUCCCCAUUCCAGUCACUCAGCUUCGGCCAGUUCCUACAGCAACCCUUUGUCAGGCCCAGUCGAUGACGCCUUGGCGCUCUUUAGCGCCUCCUGUGACGUCAAGAGUCUGACCGGGGCAUUCUCGGGGUCUGCGAACAAGCCUAAGGAGCCGCUUGCGGUGCAGGAGCGCGUCAUGAUGAAGAAGAUUACUGAAAGGCAGUCCCCGCUCAAGUUGCUCGAAAAGAAGCGGGCGAAGGCACCUGAACAGCCCACUCCCCCCAUUCAGGAAGAGCCUGAGCCUGUCAGCAAUGUCUUACAAGGAGAUGACAUUCUUGCCUUGGCCAUUAAAAAGGAAGACUUGAGGAAGCAACAUGUUCCUCAGUUUGAAGAAACAGGAGAAAAGCCUGUGGUCACACAGAAAUUUAUCAUCCGUAAGCUCAAACCGAAAGACUCUAGCAAAAGGGUCUACCACUUGGUAGCACAUCCUGCUACUCCAGAUGCCGCCACCAAGCCUCUGGACUACUCCGGUCCUCAUGACAGCUUCUUAAGCAGUGGCCAGAUCCUCCCUCACCAGAUCUUGGGAAGUCUCCAGGACUUUAAAAGAAUCGCGGUUGCUCGAGGGAACACCCAGCUGGCUAAGCUGAUUCACAUCCAGCCCUGCCUGAUGACCCUCAUCUCAGCCAAAGAAGAGCCAAAGCCAAAGCCCCCCAAGGAGGAGGAGAGACCUUCUCCAUGGGCCCCACCUCCUCAGCACAACUUCCUAAAGAACUGGAGACGGCACAUUGCCUUGCGGAAGAAGCAACAGGAAGCUCUCAGCAGUGAGCUGAGCCCACUAGGGACCUGCCAGGGUCCCUCCAUCAGGCACAGAGGCUCUUCUGUGUCUUCUCUCUCACCCGCCCAGACUCCCACUAACUAGCAUUUGCCCCAUGACAGCUUCUGGCUUUCAGGCCUCAGUGGGUUCUGAAAUGAGGCAGGGAGUGGGCCACCCAAUUCAGAGUGCGAGAGCUUGUGUGUUCUGUUUUUGGUACCAUGAUCACAGUCUUCCUUCCUUCUCUCCCGCUCUAGAGCACCUGAAGAAGCCAGCCAGUGAGCUGUUGAUGCAUACCGGGGAGAGCUAUAGGAAGAUCCAGGAGGAGCGCGAGGUCAUUGACCGUGCACUUCCCACCCAGCAUGACGGAAAAGCAACCAGUUGGUUCUGGAGUCCACUGGAAUACCUGGGUGAUGAGAUGACAGGUCUUCUCAUGACCAAAAAGAAAACUCAGCGUGGUCUGGUGGAACCCAUCACACACAUCAGGAAGCCCCUCUCCAUCCAAGUGGAGACUGGAUUACCAGCCCAGAAGGAUGCUUGGUACCGCUACACCUGGGACCGGAGUCUGUUUCUGAUCUACCGACGCAAGGAGCUGCAGAGUAUCAUGGCAGAGCUGGAUUUCAGCCAGCAGGAUAUUGAUGGCCUGGAGGUGGUGGGCCAUGGGAAGCCCUUCUCAUCUGUCACAGUGGAAGAACAUUUGCCACCUGAAAAGAUCCAGAAGAGCUCCUCGGAAGACACGGUAUUUCUAGACUCCUUGACCAACCUCUCCGACAUGGUCCCCAUGCCUAUUCUCGGCCCUUCGCUGCUGUUCUGUGGGAAGCCAGCUUGCUGGGUCAGAGGCAGUAACCCAGAGGACAAGAAAAACAUCGGAAUUGGUGUCCGCCUGACAUUUGAAACCCUUGAAGGGGAGAGAACGUCCUCAGAACUGACUGUGGUCAAUAACGGCACGGUGGCCAUUUGGUACAACUGGCGAAGGCGGCCCCACCAGGAUUUUUUCCAAGACCUAAAGCAAAACAAGACGCAGAGGUUUUACUUUAACAACCGGGAAGGUGUGAUUCUGCCCGGGGAAACCAAACACUUUACCUUCUUCUUCAAGUCUCUGAAUGCUGGCAUCUUCAGGGAAUCUUGGGAGUUUGGGACCCACCCUACACUCCUGGGAGGUGCUGUCCUUCAGGUCACCCUCCAUGCCAUCUCACUGACCCAGGACAUUUUUAUGGAUGAGAGGAAGUUGUUGGAGACAAAGCUGGCUGCCCACGAGGCCAUCACCAUUGCCCAGAGCGUGCUGCAGGACUUACUGAGGGGCAUCUCCACGCCAGAGCGCACACCAUCCCCGGUGGACGCGUAUCUCACCGAGGAGGACUUGUUCAACUACAGGAAUCCUAGGUUGCAUUACCAGCAUCAAGUGGUGCAAAACUUGCACCAGCUGUGGCAACAGUACAGGAAGGCCAAGGCAACCCAGAAGGAAACCCCCAGCCUCAGAACUCCAGUGCCGUUACUGUUGGUGGAGAAGGCCUCAGGUUCGAUAAGCCCCAGGAACCUGGUCUCAGAGUACUCGCAGCUGUCACCGCAUCAGGAGAUGGACACCGCCAGGAAGACUCGGGACUUCUUCCUGUCUCUGAAGUCUAGCAUAGGAAAGAAGAGUGUGGCACGGAAGAGCAUUAUGGAGGAACUGCUGGUGGAGGAGGGUCCGGACAGGGAGACCACCCAGCGCCCCUGGGCUCUGAAAAGCAUUUCCCCGCCUAAGUGGAACCUGUGUCUAGAGGACUUCAGACAGGCAGUGAUGACCUUCCCCGAGGAGCUCCAGAGAGAGGAUGCCCUCAUCCAGCUCAAUAAGGCGGCAAUGGAGCUGUGUCAGGAGCAGAAGCCACUGCAGUCGGACCUCCUAUACCAGAUGUGUCUGCAGCUGUGGCGAGACGUGAUUGACAGCCUGGUAAGCCAGUCCCUGUGGCUAAGAAAUCUUCUGGGCCUGCCUGAGAAGGAGACGGUUUAUUUGGAUCUUCCAGAUGAACAAGGUCAAAAAUCCCCUCCAGUCACAGAGUCGAAGGUGACAAGUGGGAAAGCUGGGAAGGAGGAUCGGAGAGGGGGCGCACAGGAGAAGAAACAACUGGGACCGCCCGAAUAGCAAAAAACUGAAGCCAAAAGAUGACAAGAAAGUGGUAAAGUCUGCAAGCCGGGACAGGCUGCUCUCAGAAGAUCCUCCCCCUGACAGCACGGCACCCUCCCAGGAGCCCAUAGACCCCCUGGUCAUGGAGAAAUAUACCCAGCGGUUGCACGCUGAGGUCUAUGCGUUGCUGGACAACCUGGUGACAGAUGUGAUGGUCCUGGCUGAUGAGCUCAGCUCUACAAAGAAUGUUGAAGAGUCUUUACGUUUUUGCAGCUGAUUCUUGGACCCAAGCUUCCUCCUGGGAAGAUGGUUUGAAAAAAGUCAAUAAAGAAUCUUUAGGUUCCUACCA